GAGUGCAUUAGGUGAUGACACAUAGGAAAUGGCACUCAUGUAAUAAACACAUGAGGCCAAGGUUUAUUUCUAUGAAUGUUCCUUUUUUAAUAAGAAAGGGAUUCACCACAACUUAAGUAUCUAAUUUUUUUUUAAGUUAGAAAUAUUUUUUCUUAAUGCUUUUUUCAUUACCGACCAAAUUGUAGUGAAAUAAUUUGUCUUAAUAAUUUUCUUUUCUUUUUCUUAAACUAUUAUAUGUUUAAAAAUUAUAAUAUGAAAUUAUUGGUUCGAUAUGACGAUUAUCUAAAAUUCAUAACAUGAAAAUAAACAAUUAAUAUUAAUUUUUG
rnacentral:lncRNA from 1 species